GCUCUAGCGCUAGGAGGCGUACUUCAUAUGAGACAUGAGACAAAUGACCGUCAAGAAUAAGAAGAAUUGGCUUCUUAUCACCAAUGAAUGGAAUGAAUAGAGACUUCAUCCAGUCUAAGAAAAGGGCCACCAUACGUAGUGUCUGACAUAAGUCUCUCUCCCUUAUACACUACAUAUGGUGGUAGGAGCUUCCCUGUAGCAGAUGUGCAGAGCUGAACGGUAAUAUUUUCCCAUCCAGACCCUGCAAGGAGUGCUUGAGGUGAUUUCUGUCCUCUUCUUGAUAGUAUACAUUUAGGGGUCCAGCUUAAUGGAAAGCCAGAUUCAUCUACAUUAUAGAUAUUAUCCGGCUUUCCUGUUACAUCCAGAUUGGGCCUUUGCUCGUACCAGCUGUAGAUGUUGGGGCCUCCUGUUUGCCAGAGAUGGAUGCCACUUCAUAAACAAACUCCACCACCCCUCCCCUGGCACUCCAUCUUUAAAGGGGUUUGGCUUUUUCGUGUACUUUAAGAAGCUCUGUACUAUUCCAUUGAUAUCAGUUCAACAUAAGCCAAACCCCCAUUCUGCAAACAGAAGACACGUUUCUACAAUCUCCUUCUCCUCAUCUACUGUCAAUGUCGUGGGAUGAGCUGGUCUCUUGACGACAUUACCAUGAGCUAGAUGGUCCCGAAGUGUUGACACUGGAAUCCCGUACAUUGUAGCUGCUCCUUUGAUAUUCUUAUACCUCUUUGCAUGAUCAAUUGCCUUUUCCAUAUCUUCUUCACUCCAUUUCAUUUUAUUUCCCUUUCUUUCAUAAUGACGCACCAUUUCUAUGUAUGAAAUUUUAUAAUAAAUAUGAUUAUAAUAAUGUAUUAUUGUUAUAAAAGUCUAGUGCAUUUAGCAG